AACGCAACGGUGGCGGUGGAAUUUGAGGUCCUUUGGUUGCGGUCUUGCGGCUGGAAAAGAAAAGAAAGGAAUAAAAAGGAAAGGGAGAGAAGAAGAAAAGAGAGAAAGAAAGAAAGAAAAAGAAAAGAAAGGAAAUUUUUUUUUUUGAAACCACUGCAUUAGAUGUGGGCACGCCUAACUGCCCUUGAAUCUUCUGACCAACCCACGGAAAUCAAGCUCCUUAAGCGUGACCACUUGGCGUGGGCACGCCUAACUACUAGAGAGUCUUCUGACCAUUUUUCAGAAAUUGAGUUCCUUAGGCGUGACCACUUGGCGUGGGUACGCCUAACUACUAUAGAGUCUUCUGACCGCAGACUAAAAUUGCCUCCCUUAAGCGUGACCAUCCGGCAUGGGCAUGCCUAACUGCUGGGUAGUCUUCUGUCCGCCAAAUUAAAACUUCCUUCCUUAGACGUGACCAACUAGCGUGGGCACGUCUAACUGCCAACUUCCUGCCACAAAAGCAACAAAUCAUUAAAUGCAACUAACACUUAAAAAAAACUCUAAAAACAUAUGAAAAUUAAAACAAAAGCCUUGGUUUGCCUCCCAAGCAGCGCCUUUCUUUAAUGUCUUUGGCUAGACAUUUUCAUGUUUAUUCAUGGAGGAUAAAAUCGUGCAACUCGUUUCAGUGCUUCAUCUUCUCUGUAAUCCUGAUAUCCCUCGUAAAUAGAGUAAUCCUUGAGCCCACGAGGUACGGUCUUCUAUGGAUUAGUAGAUGGCGUCAAACAAACAAGUGAUGGCGUUAAAUCUUCACUCACUCUUCCAUCACGAGCACUUAUUGGUUCGAGAUAUUUUGCCAUCGCAACUCUUAACUUAUUCCUGUCAUGAAAUUUAAAAUCUUCUGGUAUAAUAAAAUCAAUUUCACUAACAGGAAUUGAAAAAUAAGAGUUAGAAAAAUAUUGAUUAAGGAAUGGAGGAGAUGUCACCGCAUUUGGAGAUUGUUCACUGGAUUCAUUCACUUGGACCAUUUGAUGCUGAGGUCUCAUAUCUUGCACUUCAACUUUCUUUUCAACUGCAUCUUUAGAUCCUUCUUCUUGAGAUUUUUGCAGUACCAUGUCAUUUGUCAGGAUAAUUACACCCUCAUCUUCUUCAUGGUCGAUAAUAGUUGCUGAGGGCAAUUCUUCACUCAUUCGAGAAGUCAAUUGCGUUAUCUUAGAUGUCAAUUGAUCCAUUUGAUCUGCCAGGUUACGCAUGCUCGCUUGUGUCUCUGAUGAAAGUUCAUUGUCACCUGUUGAAGUAGAUGUGUCUCCUGUUGAAUUUGAUAUGUGUUAGUAGCUAUUAAUUCAACUAUUUCUUCAAGAGACGUACCUGACAUGGAUGACGGUUCUUGAGACUCUAAUUGUUGAAAAUCUAUUAGCCUUUGCUCAUAAUUAAAAUUGGAAUCAUCCCACCAUCCUCCCUCAUACCCAUUUGGAUAAGGGUCAUACCACGUUUGAUAUUGAGGUGAAAAAUUUCCACAAGUAUUUAUUGGAGCACUUAGACCAUUUUGAAAUGCAGAGCACAUGUCGGUUGCAUGAUUUGAGACAAAAUAAGUUCCACAAUUUGCAACAGCCCAUUGAUCAUCAGAUAAAACACGAGUCUCAUAACCCCUUCUAGAAAUAAAAUCCAAUCUAUCACCAAAAUACGGAAAGUUAGCAGCCAUAACUAUAUAUUAAAAAAAUAAGAGAAAAAUAAUAAAAAUAAAAAUAAGAUGAACUAAAAAAGAAACAAAUUAAUCAAACACCAGUCCCCGGCAACGGCGCCAAAAAUUGACAGGUGUCGAACGUGCACAAUAAUAAAUACCUACUCGAAAAAAAUACAGAUUUUGUAUAUAGCGGUGAGUAGAGUCGAAUCCACAGGGAUUGUGGAUAAUUCGUUUCUUUUAGAAUUCAAAGUAUGGGGGGUUUUUGGAUUAAAUGCUAACUAAAUAAAUUAAAUGCAGAAAAUAGUUAAUUAAAAGAAAUAAUUAGAGAAACUCUAACCAAGGGUACACUUCAGAAAUGGUUCAUGCACUGAUCAUCGAUUCACAGAUAAUUCCACAUUUAUUAAUAGAUUGGUUAUAGUUGUCAUACACGCGAUAAACAACCAACCUUUCCUUACUUUCUCGAUAGUUAAGGUACGACCGUUAACUAUUUCUCUAACCCAAAAACAACCCUAGGUACGACCGUAGGAUUUAAUUUCUAGCUUGUAUUAAGAAUUAGAAAGGCCUGAUCCUAACUAACAAACACGCUACGAGGGUUUGUUUAAAUUAGAUCGUAUGUUUCCCUGACAUAAACCCAAUUACGCCAGUUGCUACUGGGAUAGAGAUAACGAACAAUUACGGAUUCAAUUACCCCUAUUUAGCAAAAUAGCUUAUAUGAAUAAUUAAUUAUUGCGCACUAAUCAAUCAUACACAAGAGCUAUAACAAUUAAAAACAGGAAUCAUAUAAAUACCAAUAAAUGAGGAAGCGAUUAAAAUAAAUUCGAUCUCACGGUAAUUGCAGAACCAAAUCUUCAGUUGUCCCUUUACUAGAAUUAGAAGGUUAGUCCCCCAUUAAUGGAGAACAACCAUGCGCAAAAGGUAUCUGAAUCUUACAAAAUUGUUCCUGGCCAAAUCAGCCAACUAGCCAAGGAAAAGUAAUAAGAACAAAGUAAUUGUGCUCUUUUAUUUCUCCCGUGAAAAGAAGAUCCGAAUUUGUUGCUAGCUCCCGUCUUUAUCACGCGGGAUCCGUCCUUUUUUCCUCUUCAAAGUCGGCUGGCCUUCCUUCCUUUUCUCCCUAAUUCCUUACAAAGACAUGCGAAAGUCCCUUUCCUUCCGUCAAACUCAAGCUAGAAAGACUUCCUAAUAGUCUAGAAUCCUAGUCUGUAUGACCCUUCCUAAUCUAAUAGAUUUUCCUAAUAAAAAAAUAGUUUUCUCAUAGUACUCAACUACUAAAUAGAAAAAGGCAAUAAUUAUUCCAGCAUAGCCUCGGACUUGGAAUCGACAAUUCUUUGGAAACUGCCUCGUGCGCGUGAGAUCUCGAAUCUUCUGGACUUGAAUGUAGGUCCCGAACGUGCCUUCACUAAAUUAGAUGGAAAUUGGCCCUUUUAAUCAUGUUUUGGUUAUUUUUCCUACAAUUAGCACCAUUAACCAAAUAUAAGUAGAAUCCAUCAAUUAAUACAAUAUUUGGCUAAAAUAAAAGGGAAAAAUAAUUAUAAAUGUAGUAACAAAUUAUAACCUAUCAGUCUGAAAGUACGUAACUAAAAUGGAAAUUUAUCGCAUCCAGAUGACAUGAUAUGAAUAAUAGGCAAACAUAUAUAGGGAUGUCUUACUUUAAGACAUGAGAAUCUCAGGUACAACAUCACAUAAAGGCUGUUUAUUCUUGUCAAACCAUCAAGUACAGCAGAAAGACAAAAGAAUGAUAAAAGCUUGCGUAACUUAACACAAUAUAAUUUCCUGUCAGUUUUCUAAUUUCUUUCUGGUUGGGUUCAUCUACCUCACCCUUUUUUGGACAUGGAAAAAAAAGAAUAGUAGAUGCAAAAUUUGAAAGGUGAAAAAUCUUAUUGCUAUGAAGAAAGGUCAAAACUUCCGGGUGAACACUGCAAAACAUGUAAGCAUAUUACCUCCAAGAUUUCCUAAUUACAGGUUUAAUUAGCAGAGAAUCAUAUUCAUGUACUAAAGUGUUCUGAAUAUUUGCAAAUAACAAACUCAUGCUUUUAUCAUAAUCCUGCAAAUAUUGUGAUCAUGUCGUAGUCAUAAUUUUAUUAUUACUACUUUAAAGUACUUCAGAAAGAAUCAAUCUCCAUUAAGUGAAAUGAUCAUAUACAUGUAUUGUUGGAGGCAGCUUAUCCAGACACUAACAAAGUCAGCUGAUACAAGUCACCUUUCUAGAAUGCACACAAUGAACUCAUUGUGCUUGACGUUACUGCUGCUUAUAUUGCCUUCUCAUUUGAGAUUGAUGUACAAAAGAAAAUGUUUAUUUAAGACCAGAGGAAUGGCAUAUUUGGGCUGAGAAUAACAUGAAAGUUAAGAACAAGCCCUAUAGAAAUAGUAUAAUUCAGAAAUGCAACCUAGAUAACAGCAAGACAAUGUUAUCUACUAGUCAAUCUCAAGGUAAAAGAAACCUCCAACAUAUGUUCUCUACUAGUCAAUCUCAAGGCAAAAGAAACCUCCAACAUCUUUGCGCCAUCUGAUAUGCUCGAUUCAUAACAUUCUGAAACCUAAAAUGACAGAUAUGUGGAGUAAAAAUUCCCAAGAACCAAACUAUCAUAACAAGGAAUAGAGCUUUAACCAUAAAGUACUAAUUUAAUUGACUACCUAGCAAAUGUUAACCCUCCUGAACGUUCUGUAUCUUAUUUCCAUUUCAAAUAACAAAAAAAUUCAAAAUCUUGUAAAAACUUCAACACCCUUAACCAGAAGGUGUAACAUAACCAGCAGUAAUCAAAUGCAUCCAAGCUUUAAUCAAAUAUGAAUUUAACUCAGAUGAAGGAACUGUGCUGUUUUCAAAGAUACUCUUCAUGAGAGUUUCCUAAUUUUUGCCACGUCUUGAGUUUUGGAUGCAUGGUCUACCAUAGGUAGAAGCGUGGAAAUAUGGAUUAUAUACGUGAUCAAAUGAUGAACUUCAUAAUAAGUCCAACAUGACCCUAUGGUAUAGCUAAUUUAGAUCAGUACAUCUAAAUGCAUCAUCAAAUCCAAAUUACAGAGCUUGGACUUACUUUACUGGAAGCUUUAAGGAAGGAAAAAGUUCAUGCAAGAUCUUUACAACUUUGGAGUAGUGUGCCACUUAUUCAACCAGGCAGUAUCUUCCACUAGCCAAUGGAUUUUCAAAAGCUAGUAUAUGUGCAUUAGCAACAUCUUUCACAUCAACCCAGGGAAAUGUUGAAUUUGGAAAUGUUUCUGCACCUAUUGAGACAAAAACCUAAAAAAUAGAAAACUGAGUGAAACCAUUAGCAUAUCUGGAAAGAAUGUGAAGAAAGUUAUAUGAAGAAUUCAACAACAGCUAAGCAAAAAUUAGGACAUACAAUAUAUCCAGUCAAGGGCAAGACAAGGUUCAUAUCAUCUUCUUUGAUGUACAGACAUUUCUAACAGAGAGAGUAAUAUAGAAUGAGAAAAUGUUUACAACAAGCAUACUUGCGCUUAUGCUGAGUACUUGUUUGUUUCACAUUUCCUUUUUACUUUAAUUAAGAAAGCAUCAGGAAAUUUAUAACUUAGAUAGAAGUACAAUAAAAAGUGCAGUAAAACAUCCCAGAAGCACACUAGAUCAAACAAAAUAAGUUUUUUACAUGAUAGACGACCCAAAAGAUUUUGGAACUUGAGUUCCAGAUAAACAACACAUAUAUGCACAUCUCAACACAAAAAGGCUAUAAGAAAACAAAACUUAUUGUGGGCACACCCGCUGCCGCACUUGAAAACAGAUGAGACUGUGGCCAAACUCCAAAUGUGAAAUGACCAUGUCAUCCUCCUUCGGAAAACUCAAAUCCACUAAACAGGCAGAGAACUCACAACAAACUUUCCAACAUGGCAAAUUACAUGACACAUUGCUCCAAUUACCAUGAGAUUCUUGGGAUAACUAAAUUGACUAAACAGGUCAAAAAGUCAUGACAAGCUCAGCUUUAUAGCUUCCACGGUGCAUUGCUGCCAAGUACAUAAAUUGGCCAGUCUAGUGGUGGUUUGGCCAUUUUCAUUUGUUCUCAAGUUGAUUUUCAGUUGAAUCAGAUAAUCACAAGUUCUACCCUAAUUUAAAUUGCGCCCACAUUCUCCACUAUAUUUUCAUAUGGUUUCAAUAGCUAGAUUAGCAAGUGGUUUGGGGUAAAUCUUCACAGUAUUGGAUGUAAUUGUAUAAAGUCCACUAGACCAAAGACUCAACCAAGUACUCAGGAGGGGGGAAAAAACAACGCCACCAACAACAACAAACAUGAGUCAUUGUUAUUCAACAUGCAACUUUCAAUUCCAUUUCUAUUCUUUGAGCAAACAAAACAUUCUCAUUCAACUGAAAUUAAUAUAAGAAAGUAUAUUAUGUAAGUAUCUAUAUAGUACAUGUGCAAAUAUAGACUAAGAAAAUUAGAGCAAGUUAAAAAUGAAUAAAUAAAUAAAAAUAAGCCAACAACCUAAAGCCAAUAAAAUUGAGUUAUGGUUUCAGUAGCAACACCAAGGACAGCUUCAAAAUUUUUCUCAGUUCCCUCAAAGACAGAAUCAAGGGGAAAAAAAGGUUUACCAACAGCAUAUCAUACAGGUCUGUGCCCUCAAAUAAUAACUAAGCAGAUCCAACCAAAAGAGCAAGUUCCAAAGAUUUGGUUUGCUUUCUCUUUAUGUAAAAAUCCAUACCAUUUAUUAGGUUCAAUAUUACAGCACCACCGGUGUUAAGUGUUGGCUGUAACAGAGGUCCGAUCACCAUGGCUGGGUUUAUUGCAACCAUGUCUAUGUCAUUCUCUUUUACAAACUUCCAGGCCUCAUCCUCAACCAAUGUCUUCGCAAGAAUGUACCAUGACUAGAAAAGGAGAAGGAAAAAGAAAAAGAACAACAUCAUAUAUAUCUCCUUUUUAAAUACUAACCAUUUUUAAUUGGCUGUAUCUUAAAAGGCAAUAACACCCAGUCCCGGAAAACAGUUUGUCUGAGUGAGCAAGGUGUCUAUCAUGGGGAGAGAGAGAGUCUCAAGUUUCUAGCAGCAUCAUGCUGAUAAUUAUGGUGGAAGGCAACUUCAAGCAUGAAAGAAGCACUUAGCAGGAAGCAGGAUAAGUAAUUUCCGGAGAUGAAUAAAAUAAUUAAUCAUGUAUCUUGAAUUCAUGAUCAGCACAGUAAAGUGUACUACAAUGACAUAAUCAUGUAUGCUAUGCCCAAGAUGGAGAACUUAACCAGAUAUAGAAAAGGAUAUUGAAUCAUGGUUGGAUUCUAAUUAUUAUCUAGAGUUAAUUGUUUCAGGGCUUGGUUUGAAGAUUUACAACUUUAGCAACUCACAACAUGUUCUAACUUAUGAAAUUUGAAUUCAGUUUUCAGCUUGAUCCCAAAAUUUGUCACCUUUGGCUUUUCCAUUAACUAUCCUAAGCCAAUGACUGAUUUUCAAUGAAAGAUAUAUAUUAGUGCAAUAGGAAAGUAAAGCAAAAGCUUAGGGGACAACAUCAAAUGGUUUUCAACGUUAGUCGGAGCAGAAAAUAGUUUACAGGUCAUUAUCCAAAUUCAUGUAUAAUAUCUAACACAGAACAGAAAGUGACAUUCACAGACCUUGGUUUCUUUGCAGAAAUCUGGAAGAGUCCACCAAGUCUCAUCAACCAUCACGUCAGGAGUAAGAGGCUUUCCAUUAAAGCCAACUGAAGCAAAAGAGGAGGUCAAAAUCACUCUUUUAACAGAUGGUGAUUUUGCACAUGAUUUAAGUACAUUCAGAGUCCCUUUUACGGCAGGAUCAAUCAAUUCAGCCUGUCAAAAAAGAAUUGCAAAUAAGUGACGACUGACAGAUAUCAGAAAUCAUUCAUGCUAACUGGAACAAAGUUCAUAUGAAACAUAUUUACUACAGAUGUAUUUGGAAAAAGUACCAUGUAUCUUUACUUUCAUUGAACAGUGCUUUUUCCAUGACAUAAAUAUAUUUUCCAGCUUUUCAGGGCUCCUCUUAUAUUCAUUAGCUCUGCCAUAAAUCAACAUGGACAAAUAACUCGACAGUAAGUCAGACUCUUUUAGAGUAAUUACUGUGAUUUUAGAGAGAUUGAGGUCCAGGAUGACUAAAACCAGUUAAAUUAAAUAGUCUUUUAAUUUUAGGUUGAACAAUGGUUUUGACCAAGCUAUGCAGAUAACAAAGUAUUCUUUUUAAGCAGACAGUGGUUAAGUGGUCAUUAGCCAAUAGACAGAAAUCAGUCGUUGGUUUACUUCAGUGCAAAAUAUUUCCACCUAGAAGAAUUAACACACCCCAAAUCUAAGCAAAUGAGUUUUCAUUCAAGAAAUUAAAAAGCUUGCUUUUGCCACAGAAAAGCUAUUAAAGCAUCCUUAUCCAUGUCCCUUUAGGGUUGCAACUGUAUUUAUUUGGAUUUUGGCCUAAAUUAAUAUCUGUGGUUGUGAAACAACCAUAUUCUCUUUUUUAGGUUCACCUAAAUAGCCUGAGAAACUUAACCAUCUAUACUUCUACAUUUCUUCACAUCUCACCAACUCCUUAUUUCUUCAAGACAAGCUGUUUAGCAUUAGUUUGCAAAUGCAAGGGAUGACAUCUAGUAUCUUCUUUCACGAGACAGGUAGGACGAUAUCUAGUAUGUUCCAUCAUGAGACAAGUAGGACUGUAUUUACUAUUUUCCUAGAUGUGGAAAAAUAAUAUUAAUGACAAAAGAAGUUAAUACUAUAUAAUCCCUAAGAACAAAUGAAUUGGCUUCCAAAAAAGUUUCAACACCAGAAAGCAUAGAGUAGAAUACUCAAUACCACACCAAAAUGAGUAGAACACUAAUUCUGAAUGUGAAUAUCCACACGCAAUGAGGUCAAAUUCACAAAAACUCCACAUAAUGUAAAAAAAGACAAGCAAAUGCACUGCCACAGUAAGGAGACCACUUUUACUUAGAACACCGGAUUUAUAAGAUUUUAGAGCCAACAUUGUUGAACCAUACUAAGUACCAUCCUGGAUUUUUUAAGUUGAAUGUAUAUAUACCUCUCUAAUAGGAUUUUGGGAACAACUGCCCAAUCAUUUACACAAAAGAAAAAUAAAACAGAAAUAAGUAAUAACGAAGUGGAAAGCAUUUAGAUGCUCUGCUCCCAACACAUAUUAAAACUUCUUUUCCUCUUUUUUUCCUCUUUUUUUUAUGAAGGGGGGGGGGGGGGGGCGGGCAAGCAACAAAGCAUUACUAGAUUCAACAAUAUUUUUAGGUUAUACUCUGGCACAUUUCUGCAAUCUUUUUGCAGAUAUGCUACUACAAAUUGGAGAUAAAGGAUGUCCAAAUGUAGUAGAGCCACAAAUUUGUUAGGAUUACAUAUUAGAAGCGACCUGAGAUUAUCUAAAACAAUUUGCCUUUGCUAAAGAAGUUAUUGAGAACCAGCUAAAGAAGUGACCUGAGAUUAUCUAACAUUAUUUGCCUUUGCUAAAGAAAUUAUUGAAAGCCAGCUAUAGUGUCUCAUACAUAUUUGUGUUAAUCUAAAAAUGAUUAAUUUAGCUAAAGCAAUUGUUGAAACCAACUACAUUUUCUUUCACAUUCCCAUAGCCAAGAACAGAAGUUCAUCAGAACUAAUGGACUAAAAAGGCUCGAUCUUGGAAUUCAAUAUCAGCUUGCAAUUGGCUAUUGGGCUUCCUUGUUUAUUAUCAUUAUUUAAGAGAAACAUUCAUCCAUCGAGAGACAUACACAGUGUGUGACGCCCCCACUUCUCCCAAGGGUAUCCGCGGAACGCCUGCCUAGCUCUCGCCAGGACUCGAGACAAAUCAAUUCAAACUUAACAAUAUAUAACAAUUUAUACCAGUCUAAUAAGGAAAAAAUCGCUUCCAUAAACGAAUAUCCAAGUCUUGUACCACGUGUUCAAAAUACAUCCGUUAUCCAAUUCUUACGUCAGGAUCCAAAAGAUACAUCAAUUCCCAAAUAUAUACAAUAGUCAAAAUGUCUAGUCAAUUACAAUUGAAACCCUAAUACAAAAGUACAUCCAAAGGGUUCCAACGAGUUUUACUCCAUCCAUUCUUGUUAAGGAAAACAAAUCUACGGGGUGAGCGAAACGCUCGUGAGGCCAAGAAAACACACAUGCAAGCACGUUGUCCAAAUAACAAUCCCAAUAUUCAAGUAAUUUACAAUUCGAGCGAGAAAAAUAAACAGAAACAAUUCAAGGAUAUAGGAGCUCUCAGGAGCUAUUUUCCUCUUGCUUCGCCACGGCUCGAUCCGAUACCCCCUCGUGAUGACACUCCGUUAUCCUGGUGGGUAUUUUAUCCGUAGAAACUUCACUUAUUACUUCCUCCGACCAACAUUCCACCCUCUCGGAUCCGAAACCAAACACGCACGAAAAGGCGAUACUCGUCGAGUAUGCCACACGAGAUCUCAAGAGAUCAAGUUUUGAUUUUUGAACACGCACGGAAAGGGCGAUACUCCACGAGUAUGCCGAACAAGAUCUCAAAAGAUCAAGUUGUGUUUUGUUACUCUCUUGGUUUAUCAAACUUCUCGACCAAGCCCAUGCCGGCUCGAGUUGUAAGAUUGGUUAAGAGAAUUGGGCGUCCCCAUAAGUCGAGGAGGUUCACUCCACCCGACAACAAGACACGCACGACAUACACGACAUGCAUGGCAACACGACACGCACACGAAAACGGGUAUAUUUUAGUCGACGAGAUUCACUCAAUCGACUUUGAAAACCAAGUUAAUACAAGUAAAGUUCAAGUAAAGGAGAGCGAGUGCGAUAAAGUACACACUCGUCUCAUCAAGUGAUAUUCACGUAUAUAAGCAGGUAAAUCAAGUAAACACGACAAGUCAGGCACUUGACACUCACCAAUUCAAAAGUAAUUGAGCGAGAAAAUCUUUAGUUGUCCCCUCCGGGAUUCUUUUCAAGACUCGCUUGAGCACCUGAAGCAAUUAACAAGUAUUUUUCACUCACAAUCACGUAUUAAUCAAGAAAGGAGUUACGCUUAUUUGGACUAGUCAAUACCUCAAACCAAGAACCUUAGCCACUCAAAAUAAAGGUUCAAAAGUGAGGUUUUAUUAACACAAGAAAAACUGAUUUCCUUCAUGAAAUCAAGUUUAAAGCGAUCAAUUAUCAUCAAGAAGGAGUAACAAGUUUUCAAAUUUUCAUUUUCUAAGAAAUCAGCAAAUUUCAGCUUUGCGCGUCAAAUUUAGAAAAAUCAGAUCUUGCACUCAGUAGGUCCAAAAUUAUAAAACUUGGUACCGUUGGAAACCUCUUAGAAAGUACUAAAAGUUCUUAAAAGAUACUUUUCCAUGAAUCUAAGUGGAAGGUAUUCAAAAAUGAGCUUGAAGGUACAGGUUCGGCGUACAAGGCAGAAUUAAGUUGGAUUCGGCCAACUUUGGAAAUUCGGCACGAUUCACAUGUUGCAAACCGGCCUCUGAAAUUUACAGCUCAAUUAGUGUUACAAGUGAGGUUUAUAACAAAACAAGCGGAUCAAGAAUCGGAGUUUCGAGUACCGAGAUACGGUAGCUCAAAGUUGAGGAAGAUUCAAGACUGAAGAAGAAUUUCCAGUUUUGAACCUCCAACACUAGCAAUUUAAUUCGGUAUCGAAACGAACUUGAAUUGGUGCCAAAAUUGGCAGUAUUUUACUCCUAUAUGCAAGGUAUUCCUCUAUCAAAUUUCAGGGAAAAAUACCCUCGGGAAGGUAGUUAAUUAGUCAACCAAAGUUCAGGAAAAAUUCUAAGGCAAUCUGCCUUGUGACUUUCAUUUCACAAUUUCAAAUCGUUUAACCAAGAAAACUAUCCGAACAUGGUUCAUUUGUGAAAAAAAGGUCUAAGACACAUCCAUGAUACCUUUGGUAAGUGAUGAGCAUCAAGAACUUCAAUUAAUAAAAUCAUUCCCAAGUUUUGCCCCAAAUCAGUCCAAAUACUACGUUUUUCCAAAACAGGGCAGUCCUCUUGUUUUAGUCACAACUCAAUCAAUUUAACUCGGAAUGAGGCAUGGUUUAUGGCGUUAGAAAAUAAAUUCACGGGACUAAAAGUUCACAGAAGGAAAUGUUCUGAAAUUCGGCAAGCAACCAGCUCAAAAUUGAGCCUCAAGUUGCUGCCUCAACAAGCCAUUCCAGCAAAUCCGAGAGACAGGACAGCUAACUUAAAACGUUUGGUUCGGAUCACUCACAAAGAAUCAGAACGUGCAUUUUAUCUCAAAUUAAAGCUAGGAAUGUCUAGUUUCAAACGCCACCGACGGCACUUGAUUUCGACACCCGAGGACAGAGUUAUGGCCAAAAUACGACCACUGGACAGUUUUACCCGAAAAUAAUUUUCCAGCAUGCCUAGUUCAUGAAUAAAUUCAUUUGCCCAUCCAAUCGUUAAUGUUUUCCAACGAAAAUUUCUACACACAUAAUAUAACAUAUACACAUCAGGAUCAUGCCAAUAAAUCACCAAAAAUGGGCCUUAUCAUGGCCGAACAAAACAGGGGCAGAUUCGGCAAUUUCUGGUCAUGACCUCUACUUGAGUUCCCAACAAUAACACUCCAUAAAUUCAUCAUUAUAACCAUUAAACUACCAUUAAAUCCAACAUUGAUCCUCAAAUCAGCAACAACAACCCAAGUGUGGGAAUACAAAGAGCCCACUAUCACAUUUUACAUCCAUAUCAAGCUAACCAAAUGCAUGCAUGAACUUAACAAGGUAAGAUAGCUUCCAAACUUCAAGUUUCCAAGAGUGGAUCAUCACUUACUUUGGGUUGAUGUUCAGCAGAAUUUUCGGCCCUCUAUUACCCCAGAAAAACCGUGAUUUCCAGCCCUUGUUUGCAGCUCAAAAUGCUCCUCAAGUGUCAAGCUAGGUGUGGUGCAAGUUUGGUUGAAUUUGGAGAUGAUUUGGGGUGGUUUUGAGUGAGAUUAGUGAGCAGAAAUUUUGAAGCAAUGGAGUUAGAGAGAGGAGGGUGUUUGGUCGGCUAUGAGGAGAGAGAAGAUGGAGAGAAAUCUGAUUUCCUUUAGCUUCCAAGAGAAGGUGAAAUAAGUGGUGGAAAUUCACCCAAAAGUCAACUCUCAUUAGGGGCCGUUUGGUGCGAUUACGGCUCGAUUUUCUCGCGCGUUUGGUUCACUAAUGCACUAAACCUCCAAUGCAUAUAUAUUCAUGUAAAUAUUAUUCACUCUUAAUUGUCCCGAAAUAAGGGUCUAAAGUCCCUCAAAUAAAGUCGCGCGUGUGAAAACGCGUACCGUCAAUUUUAACGAUAUAACGCGAAACUUCCGAGAAAUUCUUAUAACGAUUGUACUACUAACUAUCACUUGAGUAUUUAUUCAUAAGAUUACCUAUUUUAGGACCAUAGUACAAGUCUUCAAUAUUCCAAGCUUAUUGUGCUACUACGCGGAUAAAAUCUCCAAGUACUAUUCACUAUUUUUACUAAACGUACUCCAGGAAAUUAAUUUUCAGAACGAGUCACUUUAAAAAUAUAACGAAGUUAUAUUUCCAUGUAUUUAGGUCUAAUAAGGCUAGAAAAUAUUCCUCGUGGCAAAAAUCCAAUUAAAUAGUUUAUUAAGCCAUAAAUUAGGCAUAAAAUAAUAGUUUUUACGAGUCCUCACACAGUGACUUGAGAGUAAACCAUGAGAAAACAUAGAUGUAUCUGCAACCUAACUAGCAGAACCUAUGGCUUCUUGUCUUACUUUGACAAAUGAAGAAAAUGCAUACUCAAUUAAGGAAUAAGGAAAUGAUCAAUGGACCUGAGGAUCAUUGCGUGGGUCAUGGAAAGGAGAUGCUAUAUGGAAAACACCAUCGCACCCAUCAAUUGCAGCAUCAAAGGAACCUUCUUCCAGUAGGUUUGCUUUGAACAACUGAAGUCUCUCUGAUGCUCCAUCAAGUGCAAGCAGGUGUGCUACUUUCUUUGGAUCAUCUGCAUGAUUUACAUGAAUUAGACCAAAGCUCAUAGUAAAGAACACUAAGCUCAGAAGCAAAAAAAUUUAUCUUUGAUACAGUAGUUUCAUGAAAUAACAAAACCAGAUGAUGACCUCUAACUAGUAAGACACCGCAAGCAUCUGGAAGAUUGGACAACAUAAUGGCUUCAAGAAUUAGAAAAGGAUGGUAGUUUGGGAAUAUCAAUGACGUCAAUGGUGAUUAACAUCACAUGGGAGACAGUUCCAGUAGUUGAACCUGUAUACUAGAGAAGAAAGGAGAAAGAAGAGGACUCAAAAUGACAGGUACAUUAGUACUUUCUCAUCAUCCAUCAGCUUACAAAGGGGAAUCUCUUUAAGGAAGCAAAAUCUCGUCUCCCCAAGUUGCCCCCCCCAACCAACCAACCCAACCUUCCUUCCCCACCACAACAUAAAAAAAAAAUAUGCUGCAUAGAAGACAGAAUAUAGAAAGAACGUGGAUUACUUUAUUGUUCUCAGACUAAACAGAAAACCACAAAUAACAACAACAACAAUAAUAAUAAUUGAAAAUGCAGCACAACCAUAGGAGUUCUGCUCAGGAAAACAAAAAAAGCCCACAGGAGUUCAGCUACAUCUUUUAACAUAUAUAAGCUGGAAAUUGGUAGCGAACCUUUCGGGUUUACCAUAUGUUCCAAACCAUAAGCUUGCCAACUACUAAGACAAUGCCACCAGUCAAACCCUCAGUAAAUUCUUUCAAAUUUCCAUUAUGUUACAGGUGCACGUGUUAUUAUUCAAGAGAACAUAGGAUUAACCAACGAUAAAAUUGCAGUUUGUUGGAGCCCAAGAUUUUUACUACAGAAAUAUUGCAUUACAUGAUGUUCCUCAAUUCUGACUAUCUAGACCCAAUUUAACCUUCCUUUUCUCCAUUCUUAUAAUAACAAAAGCCCUUAUCUCUCCAAUCUUCAAUAUGAACACCUACCUAAUCAGAAUUUUCAAUUCCCAGAGCCACCAAUGAAUUGUUUGUUAAACUGGAAAACGAAAUUGCACAAGAAACUCAAGCAAAAUACCAACAAGAAUCCAAUAGCUCACAAACAAAACCCAAAAAUUUAAAAAUUAAAAUUUUUUUGAAAAAUCAAUAAUCUUCAUACCAUGUAACUUAAAGCACAACCAAUAUCCAAAAGUUUCAACUUCAGAGAGGGAAAAAAUUUUCAGAAAAGCUAAAUCUAAAAGAGAAAGACGAAGGGCUUGGAGGGAUACUUACUGAGGUCACGGACAGAUGCCUUGACAAUGUAACCACGGUGGAGCAAGAACUUGACAAGCCAUGAUGCUAUGAAGCCUAAAGCCCCUGUUACACACACAACUGUCUUCUGCAUUGCUUUCAACCUUUGUGCGUGAAAAUGAGUGCAAGACCGUGGGAGUGUCUAAAUAGACCAAGGAUUGUACAUGGGAUUUUGCUGUUUUUGUACUGUCGUUGUGCUCCAAAAUGUACUCGAAUGAGUACGACUGUGGGAUUUAGCUUCUCAAAAAGGUGGGGUCGGUGUUCAAGAUUGUGCUGCACCCAUAUCACUCAUAUUCAGCAAAGGAGGGGAACGGGAUAUUCUCCUGACACUGUGAGGGCACCAAGUCCAUGUUGUCCUGACUCUGUGAGGGCCAUAACUAUGGGAUUUUGCUUCCCGAAAAGGUAAGUACGGUGAGUUGUGAUGUCCCGCUCCCGCCAAAAUCAUUGUGUACAUAUAUACCAAUAUUUAGACAAUAUUAUCUAAUAUUUAGUGUGUGCGCGUGUAAUGUAAGAAUUUUAUCCAAUAUGUAGGCAAUAUUAUCCACCCCCAUGUUGUAAAUCUUAUCAAAAUCCUUAAUAUAUGUGUAAAUUAACAACCAUAUGCCCCCUGUACAUCAAAAAUUCUAACUCAACA
rnacentral:lncRNA from 1 species